UAAUUUAUCUCUGUGUUCUUCCUUUUUGACUAUUUGGUGGCGGCUGUGGCGUUGAUUAUAAAUCGUUCCUGAGCUAUGCGGUUAACUGAAACUAUUUUCUGUUGCCGUUUUUUUGGUUUUCUCAGUCAGGGUUCAUUAAAAAUCUCAUUUUUGUUAGAACGACUAGAGAUCAGGCACGGUUUUGUCCAACUUUGUCUGUGGGUAAACAUAAAUCAAAUAAAAGUCAAGAGGCAUCUGGUACGACCCACCUCAAAUUCCAGUCGAAUGUCUUAUUAAGUCAAGUGGUGAAAUAGUGAAAUACCAGAGAAGAAUUGCUGAAGUCAUCGAUCCUCUACAUCCUAGUUCGAGAUGUGUUUGAACAUCGAAGGUAGGCCUAACGACGGCGGUCAAAUGUGAAUUGCUUCGAACGUCGGGUCAUUAAACAAUUGAUUAGGUGACUUUGUCCAGCCAGCGAAAUGUGACCGGUGAUAUUGACGCCAUACCAUAUACUGCCUGACAAGAGUUAAUAUUUGCUAACGUUCAAGUGCUCAUUAUAUUGACUUAUAGCCUACUAACACAAACAGAAAUCACUUGAAACGCGCGUGUCGGCUCGUGUUGACAAUAGAAAUCGUUUGGAUGUUGAUAAGGGAACGAGGAAACGAUACGGUGAAUGAACCUACCACUCAGCAAAUGAAAAUAAUCAUAUUUCCCUGAUUUAUCUGAGCACACUACCGGUCUAGCUUAAGCGUCAAUCAUGUAUCGGUUAUCGAGCAUAGCUUCACUGAAUAUAAAAGCUCGGCUGCACGUCUAUGGAGUAUCAGUUCUCUCUUCAUUUGACUCCAGUUGGUGCAUAGAGAUCCUUUACCAACCCGGUAACUUAAAGCCAAACACAAAGAAGCGCCGUUUUAUUUUAAGAACUGAAAAUGAAGUUGGCAAUGAUCUUCCUGUCCAUAUUUGUGGCCAUUUCCCAUCAGCAAUAUUUUCAUCCGCGGAUGAUGUUCGGGUUCCCUUGGAUGUCACCGUUUGCUCAACAACCCAUGCCCAUCUACAAUUACAAUGAGGAGGUAUACCCUGAGCCGAUGGGAUUGAGCAGUCGCAAUGACAUCGGUCAAGAUGACGAAUUUAACGAUAUCCAAUCAAGAAUCAAGGGCUUUAGCAGCAACUUUAACGGCUUGAGCCGCUACCGACCGAGUCCCUCUCUCAAUGACCAACAGAGCGCGCGAUUUUUUUUCAACUGGGCCAACACGGGCAACAACGCUAACAACAACAACUUCAACAAUUACAAUCCGUUUUUCAAAACAGCGACGUUCACUCUCACUUCGACGCUGACCUUGGCUUCCAUCCAGACUUGCGUCCCAUCAUUUCAGGUGACACCUGCUGCUCCUGCUUGUCGUCGCAAGAGAAGUGAAAUCGAAGAUAACACCGCAGAGCAAUUUCCAAUCAC